UGCAACCUUCUCCAACCCACACCCCCCUUCCUCUAGCCCAAACCAACCCGCUCCCAUCUAUCCCCCCAUCCGUUGGGCUCCUCAGUCCUCCUUUCUUCUCCCUCCAAUACCUCCUAGGCCACUCCAAACUGCACUCCAUCCCUACCUUUCCCCCAUCCCUGCCUCCUCCCAUAGUGCCCCUCAGCCCCCCUCCCUCUCCAACACCCCCCAGCCUGCAACAACUUUCCCCAACCCACAUGCCUGUAUUCCUCAAUUCAUUCCUCCACUCCUGGGACUCCUCAGCCCCCAUCGCUCUCCAACAUUCUCCCAGCUCACCACAACCUGCGCCUCCAUCUGUAUGGACUGCUCAGCCCCCCUUCCUCCCCAACAGCCCCCCAGUUCAUCCCCCCAUCCGUUGGGCCCCAUAGCCUCCUUUUUUCCUCCCUCCCAACACCCCCAGCCCAACGCAACCUGCACCCCACUCUGUCCCUAGAUCUGUGGGCCCUCCAGUGCUCUUUUCUCCUUUCUCCAACAUUCCCCAACCUGCACCCCUAUCCCUACCCUUCCCCCCAGUCCCUCCCACCACCCAUGGGGCCCCUCAGCCUUUCUCUCUCCUUGCUCCCCAACAUGCACCCUUCGUAGGACAUGGUCAGGGGUGCUAGGUGUGUAUCCCCACGGGCCAGGUGUCGGGAGCCAUGGAGAGUUUGCAGAGGAAUCGUCCAGGAGCCCUAGCUGGACAGGAAUAUGGCAGAAGUGGACCUGAGCAGCCUGGACAUCCUUCUAAGGAGACAUGAAUAGUUUCUCCCUUCCACAUUACUAGCUUAGCAAGGGAAAAGAAGUCACGCGUCAGUCUACUGCCCUCAUGCGAUGGAAAGGGAGCGAGAGCGACGAGACUGCGAGUGUUGUUGAUGCGACACAAAAACCGUCCAUCUGAGAGCGGAAGCGCCGCCACUUUCAGUGAGAUAAGUGUCUGGUUGGUGAGGGCUCUGCUCAUGGCCCAUUUUGCUCUUGGUAGGGACACCCUGUUAGCUAGGGCUGGGUUGGAAGAAAAGGUUCCUGACUAGAUGUGGUUUUGAGGGAGACAAGGUCCCCAUUUCCAGGGGCUGCUCAUUUCUCUGGCCAGGACCGGUGUGUCCUCUGCAGCAGGUUAGAUCCAGGAGGAUGACUCCCGGUGGUGAGUUGCUUGCCUUCCUCCCACCUUUUUCUCUCUCUCUCUCUCUAGUACGUUGGCCAACAUACACCCUUUAACUCUCUGUGUCUGUCCUUGCCUUUCCUUGUGCUGUCUAGGACACAGGCAGGGGUGCUAAGUGUGCAACCCCACAGGUUAGGUCUCGGGAGCCAUGGAGAAGUAGGAGCAGAUGAAAAUCAUGUGGCAGUUGGCUCUAAAGUGGAGCGAAGACUGUCGGUGUUAACUCGGUCUCUGUACAUCAAGUAGGGCCAAUGUAGAUGGGAUGGGAGAGGGAGGCCAGGAUGAGACCAAGAUUUCGAGCACCAACACAGCUUUGGGUAGUGAUGGCUCAUGCUUGGCUUUUGCAGCUGCACUUGCAGAGGAAUUGUCCAGGAGUCCCAGCCGGAGGAGAAACAGGCAAACGUAGACCUGAUCAGCUUGGACAUUCUCCUAAGCAGAAAUCAACAGUACUCAGCUUUCUACCUUCCGCUUGAAAGGCUAAGAUGGUUUCUAGAACUACCUUCCAAAUGGCAGUGUUAUCUUCUGAAAGUCAGGGAAACACCCACACCCUAGUUAGAGGGAGCUCAUCUUUGACCUUGGCAUGAAGAGGGCCAAAGCAGAGAGGAGGAUUAAGCCUGUGCGGAGAAGUGUCGAUCGCGAGCCCCCAUACAGCCGCCCCUUCGGCACACCAUGUUCCAUCUGACCGGGAUAGGUCCCAACUGCUCUUACAGAGGAAUUGUUGUUCAGGAGCCCUAGGCAGAGGAGAAGCCGGCAGAAGUGGAUCUGAGCAGCUUGGACAUCCUUCUAAGCAGAUAUGAACAGUCCUCAGCUUUCUGCCUCCCUCAUAACUACACUUCACAACUUUUAGCGGCACGGCUGAAGCCUAAGAUAAAUGCAUGGUAGUAGCUGAGUACACACGGCUGCUUCCC